CGCCUCACCAUCUGCUCUCCGCCGGCUCCACGUUUGCUGCUCUGCCAACCCCAGGCUGCCCUCUUCGUUUCCACACAGAGCAGAUGCAGGGGUUGGUGGCAGUGGCGGCUGGUAAACAGCACUAGGCCACAAGAGGAAGCUGAAUGAAGAGGACGCCGCCAGCGAGUCCAGCAGGGAGUCCAGCAACGAGGAUGAGGGCAGCAGCUCCGAGGCCGACGAGAUGGCCAAGGCGCUGGAGGCGGAGCUCAACGACCUCAUGUGAGCGCGGGCAGCGGGCAGGGACUGAAGCCUGACCGACCUCCAGCAGCACUCGGACGUCCCCGGACCAGCCCUCAGUCUCGGUCCACGCUGCUUUCUUCCCAAAGGACAUGUAUAUUUGCAGAGCUCCACAUACAGAAACACAUUAUUUUGCAGAAAUAGGUGUUUUUAAGAAGUUUUACUACAGGAAUGUCUACUUUUGUAAGUGACAGGUGUUAAAGGCCCAGGUGUGCUGUGCCAAAGAGCUCAGCAGAGGCUCACGUGGCCCAGGCUGGUGCGCCCGCUGUCUCGGUAAGGGGCGGGUUGGUGUGUUUUCCCCUUGUGUACCAGAGCACAUUCCUUAGGGGACGGCUUUGGGGGUCCCACGAGACAUGGACUAGGAGUUUAAGCAGGACAGUGUGCGUGCACGAGCUCCGAGCCCAGCACAGACAUGCCUGGAACCCCCGCCGCCUGCUGCUCCCUCCUAGGGAACCCAUUUCCGGGGAACGCCGUGACUGUCGGGCAGCCUGGAGCUUCCUGCAGCCUCCUACGCAGGGUCCACGCCACGUGGCCUGGGCUGCCAUCCUGCCGUCCUCCCACUGGCAUCCUGGCAAGGG
rnacentral:lncRNA from 1 species